UACAGAGGUCUCAAGCGUUGUUCGGAUUCAUUGGGCGUAAAGGGCGCGUAGGCUGCGGGGCAAGUCGGGUGUGAAAUCUCAGAGCUCAACUCUGAAACUGCACUCGAUACUGCUUUGCUUGAGGACUGGAGAGGAGAUUGGAAUUCACGGUGUAGCAGUGAAAUGCGCAGAUAUCGGGAGGAACACCAGUAGCGAAGGCGACACUCUGGGCCGGUACUGACGCUGAGGAGCGAAAGCGUGGGGAGCAAACAGG
rnacentral:rRNA from 1 species